GCCUUUAUGGUGUAGUUGCCAGCACGCUCGGCGAGUAUUCAAUAGGUCCGUGGUUCGAGUCCCGGCAAGGGCA
rnacentral:tRNA from 1 species